AAAAUAUCACCAAAAAAAAAAUUUCUAGUCUUUUACAAAUUAAAUAGAUGACCCUGGUUGUUGCUGUUGUCCUCUCUCUUGCUCCAUAGAUACAAGUAUAGUUUUAUAAUUAAUAUGGUGUGAGAUGCAAGGUGAGGACUGUCCAAUAUAAAUGCAUAUUUGCACCCCUGAACUAUUUGGGAUUGACCUAUUGCACUCUCAACCUUUUUGUAACCUAUUUUACACCUCAACUAUUAUAUUGCAAUAACACUUAAACACGUAUUGGCCUUGUCAGAAUGGAGCAUGAAAUCACGUGUGUGACCUAUCAAAAAAGGCCAGAAGUGGCUACACCCAUUGCUGAUUAUGCUUUGAAUGUCCUCAUUCUCUUUCUUCUACUAUCAUCCUAUGUUAUCUCCUCCCACUAUUGUCACCACCUUCAUAAACCAAAACUACACGAAUCAAAAUCACCCUCAGUUGCCACUGGUACCCCAACUUAGUCUAUUGAGACAUUUUCCCUCAGUUUCUCAACAAUCAAGCAAAAACCCACAUUGAAAAUUUUCCAAUCUAACGCAAACCAAGAAGCUAAGAAAUGUCACUUCCAUUCCCAUUCAAUUAAAUCAUCAAUACAUAACCCUAAAAUCAAAGAUCAUCAUCAAAUGGAAAC
rnacentral:misc_RNA from 1 species